rnacentral:rRNA from 2 species
GACGAAGGGGGCAAGCGUUGUUCGGAAUUACUGGGCGUAAAGGGCGCGUAGGCGGUUCUUUAAGUCAGGCGUGAAAGCCCUGGGCUCAACCUGGGAGUGGCGCUUGAUACUGGGGGACUAGAGAGUGGGAGAGGUUGGUGGAAUUCCCAGUGUAGAGGUGAAAUUCGUAGAUAUUGGGAAGAACACCGGUGGCGAAGGCGGCCAACUGGACCAUUUCUGACGCUGAGGCGCGAAAGCGUGGGGAGCAAACAGG